rnacentral:rRNA from 1 species
UACGUAGGGGGCGAGCGUUGUCCGGAUUUAUUGGGCGUAAAGAGCUCGUAGGCGGUUCGAUAAGUCGGACGUGAAAUCUCCACGCUCAACGUGGAGGGGCCGUUCGAUACUGUCGUGACUCGAGUCCGGUAGGGGAGUGUGGAAUUCCCGGUGUAGCGGUGAAAUGCGCAGAGAUCGGGAGGAACACCCGUAGCGAAGGCGGCACUCUGGGCCGGUACUGACGCUGAGGAGCGAAAGCGUGGGAGCAAACAGGG